GAUUCAUAUGUCUUCAUAACAUAUGGGAAUGUUUUCAAACUGCAGCACCCCCCUUUCCCAGAGCAAGCAAUGGGUUGGGUUUCACAUUUAAAAGGAGGUGCUGCAGUAUUCGGGUAGAUAUGCAGCACACACGUACCCCACCCCACCACAUAGCCAUCCUCU